UACGAAGGGUCCAAGCGUUAUCCGGAAUCAUUGGGUUUAAAGGGUCCGUAGGCGGUUUUGUAAGUCAGUGGUGAAAGCCCAUCGCUCAACGGUGGAACGGCCAUUGAUACUGCAAGACUUGAAUUAUUGGGAAGUAACUAGAAUAUGUAGUGUAGCGGUGAAAUGCUUAGAGAUUACAUGGAAUACCAAUUGCGAAGGCAGGUUACUACUAAUGGAUUGACGCUGAUGGACGAAAGCGUGGGUAGCGAACAGG
rnacentral:rRNA from 1 species